ensembl:lncRNA
CCUAGCCACAAAAAAUAAAUGAGCAAAACAUAACGAAAUACUCAACUAAUAAUCAAUUCCAUGCAUAAUUCCCUGAAAUAAAAACAUAAUCCAUAGAAAGGAGAUAAAAAAACAGUCAACAUAACAAAUAGUCAAAUGAACAAUCCCAACUAUUUCAACGGUGUGAUGAGAAGAAAAGGUGUGUGUCUUUGUGUGUGUGUGUGUGUGUGUGUGUGUGUGUGUGUGUGUUCUCUCCUGUUUGUAAGAGAUUUUAAAAAAUGUUACUUUAACAAAACACUAAAGUAACGUGGUGAGACAUCGGGAAUACACCCCGAGCUUCGGGGACAUUUAAACCUGUGCUGCACAAACACUGGAGAUGCAAUAACAGUGUUUCACAUGUUUGGUCUCACUUUCUCACUCAUUUCUUUUUGCAUUUUGGGGGUUUGUAUUUAUAUGAAUGGAUACAGGACAUCAUCAGUGUAGUCACACAGAGGUGGUGAAGUGAAAAAAAAAAGGUAUUAAGACUAUGACGUAUAAGACAGCAUGUGACGUGUGUAAGGAAGCCCAUUGGUUGCUGGGAAAGUUAAUGAAAUAAAAAAAUAAAAAUGCUUCAUUAUGUUUACAUAAUUUAUGAAAAUUAUGAUAAACUGAAUUAAAAUGUUUAGGAGUAAAAAAAACAGCUUACGUUGUAGUUUUAAAAGCCAGAAUGAGGAUAUAUAAAAUUUGAAAUUUAAGACAAAGUGUCUGAAGACAAAGUGUAUUGAAGGGAGAGAGACAGGACCCUUUGAUAAUUAUUUAAGGUUUUAUGUAUCAGAGAACCCCAGAAUGAACUACAGAUUUGAACAAAAGCAUCACUCAGUGACUGUUCCACAGCUUACAGGACCGUCGUCUCUCAACUAAUUAAAAAAGCAGGAAAUAGGUGGUGUGACUUAACUCUACCGGGGUGGUUUGUUAGAUAUUGAUGCAAAUAUUCAGUUCUGUUUAUUUAAUAUAUGCAGUGAAGGGCAAAAUACAGAUAUGAAGAGCAUUGAUAUAAAUGUAUGAGAUAACUGGUUUCAACAAAAUUUACAAAGAGUAUCUAUACAAAAUGAAAAGAAUCACACCUCCAUGUGACAAUUUGAAAUUUGAGACACACGUAAGUGCUUUUUCACUGCAGUGUAAUGUAAAGGGAACGUGCACUGAUGCAACAUACAGCUGUUGUUUUGGGAAACCCCAAAUAACAUGAUUACUUGGAGAUCAUGUUAAGUUUUUUGUGAGUGUUGAAGAUUCGGUUUGUGUCUUUCUCCAAAAAAUCGUUUCUAAAUCUAAAAAUUCCUGAUACAAGACUGGAUAGUGACGACACGCCGAAUAGUCGGAUUCAAAGACAGACGAUAUCGGCUCGAGUUUUAGUCAGUACGACUAGCGUUUGCUUGUGAACCAGAAAGCUGCUUUUAUUCCACAGUAAAAUAAACAAAACACUUUAAUCUCAAAACACUUUUGAGCUUUGGAAAUUGGCUUUUUUUUUUUUUUUUUUAAUUUUGACAUCUCAUUGAAGGCCAGAAAAAAACACCCAACCAUUAAAAUAUGUCCCUCUCUGUUAAACAAAGAAGUAAAAAAGAACAGUAUUCAACCGAUCAAUUAAGCACUCAGUGUCUCACAACAUCAUCAGUCCAAUUUCUAAACGUCGAUGAAAAGAAAAAAAAUGCUGCCUUAAGAGAUGACAUGGAUAAUAAAUAUUUUUGCUCUUUUACAGAAUUAAGACAUAAUGACAGAUUCAAAUGAGAGCUCCUGUCAAGAAGAACCUCACCUGGAUGCACACACACACACACACACACACACACUAGUGUGAAGAGGACGCAGCCUGGCAACAUGCACGGCACACAAACUCACACUGGCCGCCGUUCAGAGCAUCACACCCCCGGAAAAUGAAAAUCAAGAGUACUACCAAAGAAACAACACAAACAGCCUCUAAAGGCAAAGAUAAAAAUAGGAACACUGGUAAUUCUGUGACAUCAUCAACACCUGCUGAACUCAAUAUUGAAAAUAUUUCAGGAUUUUGAACAAGGAAAAGGGCGACAAAGUGAGCCCCAAAAAAGAUAAGAUAAUAAAAACUGGCUCAGAUGAAGCUGUAGAUGGGAUGUGAGACUUGUUGACAUGCCCCCC